rnacentral:rRNA from 1 species
GACGAACGCUGGCGGCGUGCCUAAUACAUGCAAGUAGAACGCUGAAGGAGGAGCUUGCUCUUCUGGAUGAGUUGCGAACGGGUGAGUAACGCGUAGGUAACCUGCCUGGUAGCGGGGGAUAACUAUUGGAAACGAUAGCUAAUACCGCAUAACAGUAGACGUUGCAUGACAUUUACUUAAAAGGUGCAAUUGCAUCACUACCAGAUGGACCUGCGUUGUAUUAGCUAGUUGGUGGGGUAACGGCUCACCAAGGCGACGAUACAUAGCCGACCUGAGAGGGUGAUCGGCCACACUGGGACUGAGACACGGCCCAGAUUCCUACGGGAGGCAGCAGUAGGGAAUCUUCGGCAAUGGACGGAAGUCUGACCGAGCAACGCCGCGUGAGUGAAGAAGGUUUUCGGAUCGUAAAGCUCUGUUGUAAGAGAAGAACGAGUGUGAGAGUGGAAAGUUCACACUGUGACGGUAUCUUACCAGAAAGGGACGGCUAACUACGUG